rnacentral:rRNA from 1 species
UGUUAUAUCUAUUAUUAAAUAUUGUGUGCUAGAUUAGUAAAAGUUAUGUGCUCUAAAUUCAAAGAAUUUGGCGGCUUUUUAAUCUUAUUAGGGGAACCUGUUCUUUAAACGAUAAUCCACGUAAAAUCUUACCUGUUUUAGGUAGUUUGUAUACCGUCAUUUAGAUAACUUUAAAAGAAUAAGUUAUUGAAAUAAUUUUGUGGUUAGAAUGUUAGAUCAAGGUGCAGCGUAUAAGCAGGAUAGAAUGGGUUACAAUAAAAUUUAUUUACAACGGAAAAAAUCAUGAAUAUGGUUUAUUUAAGGAGGACUUAAAAGUAAGAUUAUUUUAAUAUGGUAGUUUGAUUUUAGCUCUAAAUUGUGUACAAAUC